UACGGAGGGUGCAAGCGUUAAUCGGAAUUACUGGGCGUAAAGCGCACGUAGGUGGUUUGCUAAGCCAGCUGUGAAAUCCCCGGGCUCAACCUGGGCACUGCAGUUGGAACUGGCAAGCUAGAGUAGGGUAGAGGGGUGUGGAAUUCCAGGUGUAGCGGUGAAAUGCGUAGAUAUCUGGAGGAACAUCAGUGGCGAAGGCGACGCCCUGGACUCAUACUGACACUGAGGUGCGAAAGCGUGGGGAGCAAACAGG
rnacentral:rRNA from 1 species